UACGGGGGGGGUAAGCGUUGUUCGGAAUUACUGGGCGUAAAGGGCUCGUAGGCGGCCAACUAAGUCAGACGUGAAAUCCCUCAGCUUAACUGGGGAACUGCGUGUGAUACUGGAUGGCUUGGAUUUGGGAGAGGGAUGCGGAAUUCCAGGUGUAGCGGUGAAAUGCGUAGAUAUCGGGAGGAACACCAGUGGCGAAGGCGGCGUCCUGGACCAACACUGACACUGAGGAGCGAAAGCCAGGGGAGCAAACGGG
rnacentral:rRNA from 1 species